GAAAUGCGAUAAGUAAUGUGAAUUGCAGAAUUCAGUGAAUCAUCGAAUCUUUGAACGCACCUUGCACCCUUUGGCAUUCCGAAGGGUAUGCUCGUUUGAGUGUCAUUGUACUCUCACACUUCUGAUCUUUUGGUCGGGAGCGGUGGACUUGGGUGUUGCUGCUUUACUGUGGCUCACCUCAAAUGCAUUAGUGCAACUCUUGGUUGGACAUAGUACGGCGUGAUAAGUAUCUUCGCCGGCACCUCGCAAGAGGGUGGCUGAUCAGGAGCUCUGUGCUUUCCAACUGUCUUCAGACAACAACUGACAACUUGACCUCAAAUCGAGUAGGACCACCCGCUGAACUUAAGCAUAUCAAUAAGCGGAGGAAAAGAAACUAACAAGGAUUCCCCUAGUAAC
rnacentral:rRNA from 1 species